rnacentral:sRNA from 1 species
UCCCUAACACGCGAAUAUUCUGUGGUUGC